CGGUCGGGAGAGCUGCAUGAGCGGUUCACUGGACAGAGGGCCACUCGGCUG
rnacentral:ncRNA from 1 species